rnacentral:rRNA from 1 species
UACGAAGGGGGCUAGCGUUGCUCGGAAUCACUGGGCGUAAAGCGCACGUAGGCGGAUUGCUAAGUCAGGGGUGAAAUCCUGGAGCUCAACUCCAGAACUGCCUUUGAUACUGGCGACCUUGAGUCCGGGAGAGGUGAGUGGAACUGCGAGUGUAGAGGUGAAAUUCGUAGAUAUUCGCAAGAACACCAGUGGCGAAGGCGGCUCACUGGCCAGAUACUGACGCUGAGGCACGAAAGCGUGGGGAGCAAACAGG